GUAGUUGUGGCUGAGUGGUUAAGGCAAUGGGCUAGAAAUCCAUUGGGGUUGCCCAGUGCAGGUUUGAAUGCUGCCAACUACA